rnacentral:tRNA from 1 species
GGAUGUAGCUCAGUUGGUAGAGUGCUUGCUUUGCAUGCACAAGGCCCUGGGUUCAAUCCCCAGCACCA